GACGGAGGAUGCAAGUGUUAUCCGGAAUCACUGGGCGUAAAGCGUCUGUAGGUGGUUUAAUAAGUCAACUGUUAAAUCUUGAGGCUCAACCUCAAAAUCGCAGUCGAAACUAUUAGGCUAGAGUAUAGUAGGGGUAAAGGGAAUUUCCAGUGGAGCGGUGAAAUGCGCAGAUAUCAGGAGGAACACCGGUGGCGAAGGCGGGUCUCUAGUACGGUACUGACGCUGAGACGCGAAAGCGUGGGGAGCGAACAGG
rnacentral:rRNA from 1 species